rnacentral:tRNA from 1 species
CCUUAGAGAGCUGUACACCAUUAGCACCAGUCUUUUAAACUGGCGAAAGCAAUCUUAUGCUUCUAAGGA